rnacentral:rRNA from 1 species
AGAGUUUGAUCAUGGCUCAGAACGAACGCUGGCGGCGUGCUUAACACAUGCAAGUCGAGUGCGCGCCUGUAGCAAUACAGGUGGCGCACGGCGCACGGGUGCGUAACACGUGGGUAAUCUGCCCUCUGAUGGGGAAUAACCCGCCGAAAGGCGGGCUAAUACCGCAUAACAUUCCUUGGAUUUCGGUCCGAGGACUCAAAGGCGUAAGUCGUCGGAGGAGGAGCCCGCGCACGAUUAGCUAGUUGGUAGGGUAAUGGCCUACCAAGGCUUUGAUCGUUAGCUGGUCUGAGAGGAUGGCCAGCCACACUGGAACUGAGACACGGUCCAGACUCCUACGGGAGGCAGCAGUGGGGAAUCUUGCACAAUGGGCGAAAGCCUGAUGCAGCGACGCCGCGUGGGGGAUGAAGCAUUUCGGUGUGUAAACCCCUUUCGAUCCGGACGAAUACCUCGCAAGAGGGGUGACGGUACGGAUAUAAGAAGCCCCGGCUAACUACGUGCCAGCAGCCGCGGUAAGACGUAGGGGGCCAGCGUUGUUCGGAAUUACUGGGUGUAAAGGGUUCGUAGGCGGUGUGGCAAGUUGGGAGUGAAACCUCUGGGCUCAACCCAGAGGCUGCUUCCAAAACUGCUGUGCUUGAGUGUGAGAGAGGCGCGUGGAAUUGCAGGUGUAGCGGUGAAAUGCGUAGAUAUCUGCAGGAACACCCGUGGCGAAAGCGGCGCGCUGGAUCACUACUGACGCUGAGGAACGAAAGCUAGGGGAGCAAACAGGAUUAGAUACCCUAGUAGUCC